GUCGAGCGGCAGCGCGGGGGCAACCCUGGCGGCGAGCGGCGAACGGGUGAGUAAUACAUCGGAACGUACCCAGACGUGGGGGAUAACACAUCGAAAGAUGUGCUAAUACCGCAUACGACCUGAGGGUGAAAGGGGGGGAUCGCAAGACCUCUCGCGUUUGGAGCGGCCGAUGUCGGAUUAGCUAGUUGGUGAGGUAAAGGCUCACCAAGGCGACGAUCCGUAGCUGGUCUGAGAGGAUGAUCAGCCACACUGGGACUGAGACACGGCCCAGACUCCUACGGGAGGCAGCAGUGGGGAAUUUUGGACAAUGGGGGCAACCCUGAUCCAGCCAUUCCGCGUGAGUGAAGAAGGCCUUCGGGUUGUAAAGCUCUUUCGGCAGGAACGAAACGGCGGGCUCUAACAUAGCCUGUCAAUGACGGUACCUGAAGAAGAAGCACCGGCUAACUACGUGCCAGCAGCCGCGGUAAUACGUAGGGUGCGAGCGUUAAUCGGAAUUACUGGGCGUAAAGCGUGCGCAGGCGGUUCUAUAAGACAGAUGUGAAAUCCCCGGGCUUAACCUGGGAACUGCGUUUGUGACUGUAGGACUCGAGUGUGGCAGAGGGGGGUGGAAUUCCACGUGUAGCAGUGAAAUGCGUAGAGAUGUGGAGGAACACCGAUGGCGAAGGCAGCCCCCUGGGUUAACACUGACGCUCAUGCACGAAAGCGUGGGGAGCAAACAGGAUUAGAUACCCCUGGUAGU
rnacentral:rRNA from 1 species